rnacentral:tRNA from 1 species
GGGAAGGUGGCUCAGUGGUAGAGCACUUGCUUUGCAUGCAUAAGGCCCUGGGUUUGAUUCCUCAGCACCCCA